ACUCCUACGGGAGGCAGCAGUAAGGAAUAUUGGUCAAUGGACGAAAGUCUGAACCAGCCAUCCCGCGUGCAGGAUGAAGGUCCUAUGGAUUGUAAACUGCUUUUAGCAGAGAAGAAAAGCAUCCUUUUAAGGGUGUCUGACGGUAUCUGCGGAAUAAGCACCGGCUAACUCCGUGCCAGCAGCCGCGGUAAU
rnacentral:rRNA from 1 species